AUACGUAGGUCCCGAACGUUGCGCGAAAUUACUGGGCGUAAAGGGUCCGUUGGCGGUCUGGUAAGUGGAAGGUGAAAGCCUGGGGCUCAACUCCAGAAUUGCCUUCCAAGCUGCCGGACUUGAGGCAGGGAGAGGUCGGCGGAGUUCCCGGUGUAGCGGUGAAAUGCGUAGAUAUCGGGAGGAACACCAGUGGCGAAGGCGGCCGACUGGAACUGUCCUGACGCUGAGGGACGAAAGCCAGGGGAGCGAACCGGAUUAGAUACCCUAGUAGUCC
rnacentral:rRNA from 1 species